GGCUGGCAAAAAGGAGGCGCCCUCCUCCCUGGAGUGGUGGCCCUGGUAUUUGGCGCUGAACACAGAGAAAGAUACAGCCAGGCGCCCUCCCUCUCUUCUCCCUCCAUGUUCUUCCUCCCUCAUCUCUUCUAGGUAUGAUUUUAGCCAUGGAUUUGUGAGACUCUUGUACUGAAUUCACGUGGGAAAGGAGGCCCCUCCCUCCUUGUGCCCUCUGGGAAUUUGAGGCCAGGCCAGUGUUUCUGUUUUGGAUGGCACCCCGGCACAAACUUUGUGAUGCAUCCGUGCAUGCAUGGACUCCAGCUGCCGCUACCCUACAUUUGUAGCUGCUGGAAAUGCCAGCGGCAGCAGUGUCAACAUGUGUGUGUGUGUCAUAGAGAAACGCGCCGGCCCAUGGCUGGAUCAUGGCACAUUGAUAUUGGCAUGGGUGGAUCAACAGAACUCUUAUCAGAAACGUGCAGGCUGUGGAGCCACAUGUUUGUUUCAGGCAAAAAGUUUGCAGAUGCUAGCUAGGUGACUGAAUUGAGUUUUGUGGUAGAUGCCAUUCAGUUAUGCAGUGAGGUUCCUCUCCUCCCUCCGGUUUCAUGGUAGAUUGGGACAAUGCAAUGCAAGUAAGAGAUUGAAGAACCUGUUGGUUUGUGCACGCGAGUCGUUUUCGCUGUAAAAUUGGGCAGCAAGAAUCAGCAACAGUGCAAAAAAAAAUGGCAGGUUCAGAAAUCGACAGCGUCGUAGAAUAGGAUCAGAUGCAGGUAGGUAGCUUGAAGAACCGAUUUGAGAGACUGAUCGAUCAUGAACCUGUUCGAUCUCUGCACAAGAGUCGUUUCCUUUCACUUUCAGCGUAAAAGAUGGGCGCCCAAGAACAAGAAUCCGCAGCUCUGCAAAUAGCAGAACAUGUACUUAUAGCAGAAGGCAUCACUAGGACACACAAUUUGGUCCAAUAAUGAAGAAGCAAACAAUCCAUGGCUGGAACGGGAAUAAUGCUACUGAGUACUAGUGCUGACGGCCAAAAUCUUAAUCGCGGGACACUUAAUUGGACGGCCGCAGCGAGCUGAGCGGUCGCUCUUGCAGGCUGCAACUGGAGGAUCGGAGCGAGCGAGCGAGCGAUGGAUUCUCCACUGGAUCUUGUGCUUCCCAUUUCCCCUUUUUAUUUUCUCGUGACGGAUAGCAGGUAGGGGGCAUCGUCAGGCAUUAUUCACGUUCUGGAGGCUGGAGAUGCGAUGGUGGGAUAUUGGAAUCCGGUCCACAAUCUCCGGCGACAUGGACGGCCAAUAGCUAGAAUCCAGCCGCUGCUGCUGCUCUUCACUGUCACAGCGACCUGAUCACAACGUUGUCCUCCUCCUGAUCAUCAUGAAUGAUCUCCCAAUCCACCUGAUCACCGGCAUGGAAUCAAAUUCUAGCUUGGGUCUCGCCUGACUAAACCUUGUUCAGUGAAGUCAGUACUCACUGAUCAGUAGCAGGUUUCCUUUAUGGGCCGAAAUUCACUGAAACUCCCUUCUAUCCUUACAGUCUGAUAAAAUUAGAUAUCAGUCAAAUGUUUUCUACUUCUAUGCAGACAUUCCAAAUUCACCCGCACGAUAAUCAUGUACUCAUAAUGUUCUAUUCUUAUUUUUAUC